AAGAAGCCCGCGUGAGGGAUAGCAGUGAAAAGCCCACAGCCUGACGAAGGAAGAGCGAGGACUUGCAACGAAUAGCCCGACCCUUU
rnacentral:misc_RNA from 1 species